rnacentral:rRNA from 1 species
UACGUAGGGGGCAAGCGUUGUCCGGAAUCAUUGGGCGUAAAGAGCGCGUAGGCGGUCCGGUAAGUCCGCUGUGAAAGUCAAGGGCUCAACCCUUGAAUGCCGGUGGAUACUGUCGGGCUAGAGUCCGGAAGAGGCGAGUGGAAUUCCUGGUGUAGCGGUGAAAUGCGCAGAUAUCAGGAAGAACACCAAUAGCGAAGGCAGCUCGCUGGGACGGUAUUGACGCUAAGGCGCGAAAGCGUGGGGAGCGAACAGG